rnacentral:rRNA from 1 species
UACAGAGGUCCCAAGCGUUGUUCGGAUUCACUGGGCGUAAAGGGUGCGUAGGCGGUGAGGUAAGUCGGAUGUGAAAUCUCCAAGCUCAACUUGGAAACUGCAUUGGAAACUACCUUGCUAGAGGAUUUGAGGGGGGAUUGGAAUACUUGGUGUAGCAGUGAAAUGCGUAGAUAUCAAGUGGAACACCAGUGGCGAAGGCGAAUCCCUGGAAAAUACCUGACACUGAGGCACGAAAGCUAGGGGAGCAAACAGG